rfam:Morus notabilis contig26288, whole genome shotgun sequence.
GUGUUUCUUAGAAAGAAGAGAUGGUUGGCAUCUCCCCUGACAGGGAUGGGAUCAACCUUCGGGGUUCCUGUUAACACACCGGGUUCUAUCAGAUAAGGCUAACCAAAAAAUGUUUGGUCCAUGGUGGUUCCUUCAUGUUUAU